rnacentral:lncRNA from 1 species
CAUACAGCUCCCAAAUGACUUCUAUGAACUUCUUGGUAUUUGAUAAAUACCUUUUCUACAUUUUUCAGGGAGAACUUGAUGCAGAGGCUUUUGAAAGAGGCCAGAGACUUUGGUGAUGGUAAGAGAUGUCAGACGGAAUAACUGGCUUCUCGGUCUCACAGACUUCCAUGAGAUGUCAGACGAGCAAGUCACAUGCCUAUUCCAGAUAUAGCACUAGAGAAGAAGUCAAAUGGCAAAACUGGACAUGGUCUACCAUGCUUCGCCCCAGCAG